UAGACUUGUGUUUGAGUUUGUACAUUUGAAUCGUUUCUGUACUUGAAGCUGUUUUCCUUAACGGAGACGCGUUUCGCCGUUGCAGUGCGUUUGGCCCUUGUCCGCCACCGUAUAAUUCAGUUUUACUUGACCACAACAAUUUGACCUGACCAUGACUACAGAUUAUUUCGUAAUAUGUUUGUCAGUGUCAUUGCACUUUAGGGCUGUAUCAGUGUGGGAGGCAAUGAGUAGAAGGCACCUCCAGUGGAAGUCCUGACUGUGCCUAGGUACAGUCUGGAGGACUGGGUGCUGUACUUCUGAAAUAUUCACCCGAAUCCAGUGGAAUAUUUGCCCUGACGCUACGUGUCCACCUACAGUGCUUCAGCCCUUCUGGGAGAGAGAUAUCCUCCUCAGAUUCUCCAAGCCCUUCUACAAACUCCUCAUAUGUAGAAUUUUCUUGAAAGGGACGCUGUCCCAGCAGUUCUACCAUGUCGGCUUUGUCUAGAAUCUCUCUUUCUAGAAGACGUUUUGCUACCUGCAACACAUGAUCAAUAAUAAUAAACAAACAAUAAUUACCAUGAUCAUA